rnacentral:lncRNA from 1 species
CUCUCAAGCUCUCUGUCUUUCUUUUUUUCACUCUUCACUCUUUAGUCAUUUGAGGUUCAAGGCCCGUGGGCUGGUCAGGCCCGGCCCACGAUCCUUAAAGGGCUGGGCUGGGCCAGCUAUAUUGUGUCCCAUUUUUUGGCUGGACCUAGUCCAGCCCAACCCAUCAAAUUUUAGAUCCUUGUGGGCCGUGUCGUGCUGGGCCGAACCAGCCUAUUUUGACAGUACUAGAUUUGACCACUAUAGUGCAGGGAAUGCAACAGGAGGCUCUAACUCAACAACCUCCCGGCACACCACUGCAGAGCUUGAUGCAGCCUCC